rnacentral:rRNA from 1 species
GACGAACGCUGGCGGCGUGCUUAACACAUGCAAGUCGAGCGGUAAGGCCCUUUCGGGGGUACACGAGCGGCGAACGGGUGAGUAACACGUGGGUGACCUGCCCUCAGCUCUGGGAUAAGCCUGGGAAACUGGGUCUAAUACCGGAUAUGACUUCGCAUCGCAUGGUGUGGGGUGGAAAGUUUUUCGGCUGGGGAUGGGCCCGCGGCCUAUCAGCUUGUUGGUGGGGUGAUGGCCUACCAAGGCGACGACGGGUAGCCGGCCUGAGAGGGCGACCGGCCACACUGGGACUGAGACACGGCCCAGACUCCUACGGGAGGCAGCAGUGGGGAAUUUUGCGCAAUGGGCGUAAGCCUGACGCAGCGACGCCGCGUGGGGA